rfam:Myotis lucifugus cont2.2187, whole genome shotgun sequence.
GAGACACCCUUCUGGGGCAAGACUUGCUUCAGUGUGGCUUUGGUGCUCACUGAGUCUGCCCCCUGAGUGUGUCCCU